GAUGAAGAACGUAGCGAAAUGCGAUAAGUAAUGUGAAUUGCAGAAUUCAGUGAAUCAUCGAAUCUUUGAACGCACAUUGCGCCCCUUGGUAUUCCGAGGGGCAUGCCUGUUCGAGCGUCAUUAUAACCCCUCAAGCUUAGCUUGGUGUUGGGGCCUGCUGUAAUAGAGCAGCCCUUAAAAUCAGUGGCGGUGCCAUUAGGCUCUAAGCGUAGUAAUUCUCCUCGCUAUAGGGUUCUGGUGGAUGCUUGCCAUUAACCUCUAAUUUUCUAUGGAUGACCUCGGAUCAGGUAGGGAUACCCGCUGAACUUAAGCAUAUCAAUAAGCGGAGGA
rnacentral:misc_RNA from 1 species